AGAGAGUGCGAGCGUUAAUCGGAAUUACUGGGCGUAAAGCGCGCGUAGGUGGAUACUUAAGUCGGAUGUGAAAGCCCUGGGCUUAACCUGGGAAUUGCAUUCGAUACUGGGUAUCUAGAGUAUGGUAGAGGGAAGUGGAAUUUCCGGUGUAGCGGUGAAAUGCGUAGAUAUCGGAAAGAACACCAGUGGCGAAGGCGACUUCCUGGACCAAUACUGACACUGAGGCGCGAAAGCGUGGGGAGCAAACAGGGAUUAGAGACCCUGGUAGUCCACGCCGUCAACGAUGUGAACUAGAUGUUGGAGGGGCGACCCUUUAGUAUCGAAGCUAACGCGUUAAGUUCUCCGCCUGGGGAGUACGGCCGCAAGGCUA
rnacentral:rRNA from 1 species